rnacentral:rRNA from 1 species
GAUGAACGCUGGCGGCGUGCCUAAUACAUGCAAGUCGAGCGAACAGACGAGGAGCUUGCUCCUCUGACGUUAGCGGCGGACGGGUGAGUAACACGUGGAUAACCUACCUAUAAGACUGGGAUAACUUCGGGAAACCGGAGCUAAUACCGGAUAAUAUAUUGAACCGCAUGGUUCAAUAGUGAAAGACGGUGUUGCUGUCACUUAUAGAGGGAUCCGCGCCGCAUUAGCUAGUUGGUAAGGUAACGGCUUACCAAGGCAACGAUGCGUAGCCGAACUGAGAGGGGGAUAGGCCACACUGGAACUGAGACACGGUCCAGACUCCUACGGGAGGCAGCAGUAGGGAACCUGCCGCAAUGGGCGAAAGCCUGACGGAGCAACGCCGCGUGAGUGAUGACGGUCUUCGGAUCGUAAAACUCUGUUAUUAGGGAAGAACAAAUGUGUAAGUAACUAUGCACGUCUUGACGGUACCUAAUCAGAAAGCCACGGCUAACUACGUG